AGAGUUUGAUCCUGGCUCAGGAUGAACGCUAGCGGCAGGCUUAAUACAUGCAAGUCGAGGGAUGCCAGCAAUGGUAGACCGGCAAACGGGUGCGUAACACGUACACAACUUUCCGUCAAGUGGGGCAUAGCCCGGGGAAACCCGGAUUAAUACCCCAUAAAAUAUAGGCUGCGGCAUCGCAGUAAUAUUAAAGCUCCGGCGCUUGAUGAUGGGUGUGCGGCUGAUUAGGUAGUUGGCGGGGUAACGGCCCACCAAGCCUUCGAUCAGUAGCUGAUGUGAGAGCAUGAUCAGCCACACGGGCACUGAGACACGGGUCCGACUCCUACGGGAGGCAGCAGUAAGGAAUAUUGGUCAAUGGGCGCAAGCCUGAACCAGCCAUGCCGCGUGGAGGAUGAAGGUCCUCUGGAUUGUAAACUUCUUUUAUUUGGGACGAAAAACGGGGAUUCUUUCUCACUUGACGGUACCAGAUGAAUAAGCACCGGCUAACUCCGUGCCAGCAGCCGCGGUAAUACGGAGGGUGCAAGCGUUAUCCGGAUUCACUGGGUUUAAAGGGUGCGUAGGCGGGCUGUUAAGUCAGUGGUGAAAUCUUUGGGCUUAACCCGAAAACUGCCAUUGAUACUAUCAGUCUUGAAUAUUGUGGAGGUCUGCGGAAUAUGUCAUGUAGCGGUGAAAUGCUUAGAUAUGACAUAGAACACCAAUUGCGAAGGCAGCAGGCUACGCAUAUAUUGACGCUGAGGCACGAAAGCGUGGGGAUCAAACAGGAUUAGAUACCCUGGUAGUCCACGCCCUAAACGAUGGAUACUCGACAUACGCGAUACACAGUGUGUGUCUGAGCGAAAGCAUUAAGUAUCCCACCUGGGAAGUACGACCGCAAGGUUGAAACUCAAAGGAAUUGGCGG
rnacentral:rRNA from 1 species